rnacentral:rRNA from 1 species
ACACAUAGGGGGCGAGCGUUAUCCGGAAUUACUGGGCGUAAAGCGCGUGCAGGCGGUGGUGCAAGUUGGGCGUAAAAUCUCCCGGCUCAACUGGGAGGGGUCGUUCAAUACUGCAUCACUUGAGUGCAGGAGAGGGAAGCGGAAUUCCCGGUGUAGCGGUAAUAUGCGCAGAUAUCGGGAGGAACACCCGUGGCGAAGGCGGCUUCCUGGCCUGUAACUGACGCUCAGACGCGAAAGCUAGGGUAGCGAACGGGAUUAGAUACCCCGGUAGUCCUAGCUGUAAACGAUGGAUACUAGGUGUGGGAGGUAUAGACUCCUCCCGUGCCGAAGCUAACGCGUUAAGUAUCCCGCCUGGGGACUACGGCCGCAAGGCUAAA